rnacentral:rRNA from 1 species
ACGCUAGCGGGAGGCCUAACACAUGCAAGCCGAGCGGUAUUUGUUCUUCGGAACAGAGAGAGCGGCGUACGGGUGCGGAACACGUGUGCAACCUGCCUUUAUCUGGGGGAUAGCCUUUCGAAAGGAAGAUUAAUACCCCAUAAUAUAUUUUACGGCAUCGUGGAAUAUUGAAGACUCCGGUGGAUAGAGAUGGGCACGCGCAAGAUUAGAUAGUUGGUGAGGUAACGGCUCACCAAGUCAGUGAUCUUUAGGGGGCCUGAGAGGGUGAUCCCCCACACUGGUACUGAGACACGGACCAGACUCCUACGGGAGGCAGCAGUGAGGAAUAUUGGACAAUGGGUGCAAGCCUGAUCCAGCCAUCCCGCGUGAAGGACUAAGGCCCUAUGGGUUGUAAACUUCUUUUAUACUGGGAUAAACCUACUUACGUGUAAGUAGCUGAAGGUACAGUAUGAAUAAGCACCGGCUAACUCCGUGCCAGCAGCCGCGGUAAUACGGAGGGCGCAAGCGUUAUCCGGAUUUAUUGGGUUUAAAGGGUCCGUAGGCGGAUCUGUAAGUCAGUGGUGAAAUCUCAUAGCUUAACUAUGAAACUGCCAUUGAUACUGCAGGUCUUGAGUGAGAUUGAGGUAGCUGGAAUAAGUAGUGUAGCGGUGAAAUGCAUAGAUAUUACUUAGAACACCAAUUGCGAAGGCAGGUUACCAAGUCUUAACUGACGCUGAGGGACGAAAGCGUGGGGAGCGAAC